AUGAACGCUGGCGGCGUGCCUAAUACAUGCAAGUCGAGCGAACAGACGAGGAGCUUGCUCCUCUGACGUUAGCGGCGGACGGGUGAGUAACACGUGGAUAACCUACCUAUAAGACUGGGAUAACUUCGGGAAACCGGAGCUAAUACCGGAUAAUAUAUUGAACCGCAUGGUUCAAUAGUGAAAGACGGUUUUGCUGUCACUUAUAGAUGGAUCCGCGCCGCAUUAGCUAGUUGGUAAGGUAACGGCUUACCAAGGCAACGAUGCGUGGCCGACCUGAGAGGGUGAUCGGCCACACUGGAACUGAGACACGGUCCAGACUCCUACGGGAGGCAGCAGUAGGGAAUCUUCCGCAAUGGGCGAAAGCUUGACGGAGCAACGCCGCGUGAGUGAUGAAGGUCUUCGGAUCGUAAAACUCUGUUAUUAGGGAAGAACAAAUGUGUAAGUAACUAUGCACGUCUUGACGGUACCUAAUCAGAAAGCCACGGCUAACUACGUG
rnacentral:rRNA from 1 species